GUGGAAUGUGGAUGUAUUUAUAACAGGAUGAGGUGGAAUGUGGAUGUAUUUAUAACAGGAUGAGGUGGAAUGUGGAUGUAUUUAAAACAGGAUGAGGUGGAAUGUGGAUGUAUUUAUAACAGGAUGAGGUGGAAUGUGGAUGUAUUUAAAACAGGAUGAGGUGGAAUGUGGAUGUAUUUAUAACAGGAUGAGGUGGAAUGUGGAUGUAUUUAAAACAGGAUGAGGUGGAAUGUGGAUGUAUUUAUAACAGGAUGAGGUGGAAUGUGGAUGUAUUUAAAACAGGAUGAGGUGGAAUGUGGAUGUAUUUAUAACAGGAUGAGGUGGAAUGUGGAUGUAUUUAAAACAGGAUGAGGUGGAAUGUGGAUGUAUUUAUAACAGGAUGAGGUGGAAUGUGGAUGUAUUUAAAACAGGAUGAGGUGGAAUGUGGAUGGAUUUAUAACAGG